rnacentral:rRNA from 1 species
CCCUUCGGGGUGGAUCAGUGGCGAACGGGUGAGUAACACGUGGGGAAUCUGCCCUGAACUCUGGGACAAGCCUUGGAAACGAGGUCUAAUACCGGAUACGACCUUCUCCUGCAUGGGGGUUGGUGGAAAGCUCCGGCGGUUCAGGAUGAUCCCGCGGCCUAUCAGCUUGUUGGUGGGGUAAUGGCCUACCAAGGCGACGACGGGUAGCCGGCCUGAGAGGGCGACCGGCCACACUGGGACUGAGACACGGCCCAGACUCCUACGGGAGGCAGCAGUGGGGAAUAUUGCACAAUGGGCGGAAGCCUGAUGCAGCGACGCCGCGUGAGGGAUGACGGCCUUCGGGUUGUAAACCUCUUUCAGCAGGGAAGAAGCGCAAGUGACGGUACCUGCAGAAGAAGCACCGGCUAACUACGUGCCAGCAGCCGCGGUAAUACGUAGGGUGCGAGCGUUGUCCGGAAUUAUUGGGCGUAAAGAGCUCGUAGGCGGCCUGUCGCGUCGGAUGUGAAAGCCCGGGGCUUAACCCCGGGUCUGCAUACGAUACGGGCAGGCUGGAGUGUGGUAGGGGAGAUCGGAAUUCCUGGUGUAGCGGUGAAAUGCGCAGAUAUCAGGAGGAACACCGGUGGCGAAGGCGGAUCUCUGGGCCAUUACUGACGCUGAGGAGC